GAUGAACGCUGGCGGCGUGCUUAACACAUGCAAGUCGAACGUGAACCAGUAGCAAUAUUGGGGAAAGUGGCGGACGGGUGAGUAACACGUGGGUGACCUGCCUUGCAGCGGGGGAUAACGAGGGGAAACCUUCGCUAAUACCGCAUAGGCUUACACUGAUGGGAAUGGUGUGGGUAAAACUUUGGUGCUGCAAGAGGGGCCUGCGUCCGAUUAGCUAGUUGGUGAGGUAAAGGCUCACCAAGGCGAUGAUCGGUAGCUGGUCUGAGAGGACGAUCAGCCACACGGGAACUGAGAAACGGUCCCGACUCCUACGGGGGGCAGCAGUGAGGAAUAUUGGGCAAUGGGCUAACGCCUGACCCAGCAACGCCGCGUGGAGGAUGAAGGUUUUUGGAUUGUAAACUCCUUUUCUCAGGGAAGAGCGAGGACGGUACCUGGGGAAUAAGUCACGGCUAACUACGUG
rnacentral:rRNA from 1 species